ensembl:lncRNA
CUGGUUGUGUGUACUGACAUGUGACCUACUGGUUGUGUGUGUGUACUGACAUGUGACCUACUGGUUGUGUGUACUGACAUGUUUGUAACUGGUAGAUGCACACAAACUACAUGUUCAUGUUAUUCAAUGUAUGUAAAUUGUAAAGUAUUUUGUCCGUAAUGUCUUUCACGUUAUGGAACCCAGUAAGACUAGCUCUGUGAGGGUAGUCUAUAUACAGUAGGUCUGUGAGGGUAGUCUAUAUACAGUAGCUCUGUGAGGGUAGUCUAUAUACAGUAGCUCUGUGAGGGUAGUCUAUAUACAGUAGGUCUGUGAUGGUAGUCUAUAUACAGUAGGUCUGUGAGGGUAGUCUAUAUACACUAGCUCUGUGAGGGUUGUCUAUAUACACUAGCUCUGUGAGGGUAGUCUAUAUACAGUAGGUCUGUGAGGGUAGUCUAUAUACAGUAGGUCUGUGAGGGUAGUCUAUAUACACUAGCUCUGUGAGGGUUGUCUAUAUACACUAGCUCUGUGAGGGUAGUCUAUAUACAGUAGGUCUGUGAGGGUAGUCUAUAUACAGUAGCUCUGUGAGGGUAGUCUAUAUACAGUAGGUCUGUGAUGGUAGUCUAUAUACAGUAGCUCUGUGAGGGUUGUCUAUAUACACUAGCUCUGUGAGGGUAGUCUAUAUACAGUAGGUCUGUGAGGGUAGUCUAUAUACAGUAGGUCUGUGAGGGUAGUCUAUAUACAGUAGCUCUGUGAGGGUAGUCUAUAUACAGUAGGUCUGUGAGGGUAGUCUAUAUACAGUAGCUCUGUGAGGGUAGUCUAUAUACAGUAGGUCUGUGAGGGUAGUCUAUAUACAGUAGGUCUGUGAGGGUAGUCUAUAUACAGUAGGUCUGUGAGGGUAGUCUAUAUACACUAGCUCUGUGAGGGGU